AAGGCCUGUUUAUUCUCGCGAUACAGCGAGGUGCAACGUGACAUCACACACAAUUAGCCUAUGCAUAAAUUAACUCGCGAUAAUUAAUGUUGUUGAUGCCUUGAUGUUCACACAGUUUAAUAUCCACUCAGCUGCGUACACCAACGCACGUCCCCUAGAUGGAGGCGUAGAUCAUUGUGGGAUCAUUGGAUUGGCCCUUUGGGAAUAACUGGACAAACCACUUGAACCCAGCACAUCACCUCUGACCCCUGUGUCAUCUGUGGCUGGUCCUCAAGAGACCAGUGUUGACAUCAACUUCAAAUAUGACACUGAAGAGCAUCAAUGAGGUCCACUUUUCCGACUGCUGGAAUGCAAACUGAUUAAUAUUUAUGUAAAGAAAUAAAAAAUGUUUAAGAUUAAAUGAUA